rnacentral:antisense_RNA from 1 species
GCAUGCAGGUGAGAAGGGAAGAUACGUGUAAUCUGCACGUCUGCCACCAUUCCUUGUUACUCCUUUUUCGUAUCCCAUGAGCACAGCACUCCAGCGGACCUACCCAAAAUAUAUAGGAGUUCAGUGAAACUCAAACAGCACACUUCUGGUCAGCCUAUACAGUUUCUGUCCUGGUGAGGAGCAUGGUUACCAACAGGCAAGAUCUUCUGGCCUUGAAGUUUCACUUGAGUUAAAAGAGCUCAUCUCAGGACUUUCUGAAUUUUCAGCCCAUAUGACAUGGAAGAAGAGUUAGAAGGGGAAUCUGACUGCUUGGAUCAGGGACUGUCUGGCUGGUGGAACUUGAAUGUAUACAACACUCUUCAUUUGCAUGUUUUGACAUUUUAAAAAAUGUUUUCACUUUCCUUAUCUACUUUGACUCUAAUGACAUCCUAAAAG